ACUCCUACGGGAGGCAGCAGUGGGGAAUCUUGGACAAUGGGGGCGAACCCUCGAUCCAGCCAUGCCGCGUGAGUGAUGAAGGCCUUAGGUCGUAAAGCUCUUUCGCCUGUGAAGAUAAUGACGGUAGCAGGUAAAGAAACCCCGGCUAACUCCGUGCCAGCAGCCGCGGUAAUACGGAGGGGUUAGCGUUGUUCGGAAUUACUGGGGCGUAAAGCGCACGUAGGCGGAUCGGAAAGUUGGGGGUGAAAUCCCGGGGCUCAACCCCGGAACUGCCUCCAAAACUAUCGGUCUAGAGUUCGAGAGAGGUGAGUGGAAUUCCGAGUGUAGAGGUGAAAUUCGUAGAUAUUCGGAGGAACACCAGUGGCGAAGGCGGCUCACUGGCUCGAUACUGACGCUGAGGUGCGAAAGUGUGGGGAGCAAACAGGAUUAGAUACCCUGGUAGGAUAGCG
rnacentral:rRNA from 1 species